GUUCCACUAAGCAAUCCUCGGGAGCUUCGACAUUUUUAUAAAUUUGAAGUCAACUGAAGUCAACUUUUGCUAUAGCGUUGAAUGAAUCAAUACUAUAAUAUGUCAUGAGGCAAAUGUUAUUGAAUUUUUUUAACCCGCAUUUUGGUCCCCUUCAGGAUUUAACCCCUUAUUCAAGGGGUACCAGACACCCCUUUACCCAUAAAAAAGGGGUAGUCCUUAAAAAAGGGUUCCACUGACUUGGCAGAAGUUUCGUCCAACAACCCUGGAAUACGGAGGGUGCUUUUCCUGGGAUUGGCUAGUGGCUCAACCUUAUUGGCCGGCAAGGAAUGGAAGCCAUUCUGCAUUUGUGGCUCUACGUUCAAAGUUGAAAGGGUGGCUCAGUCAGGCUGGGGCUGCCGUAGCCUCUGCUUCGGGGAGUAUCUUUGACUAAAUUGAUCAAUAGAAAAACAGCUCACUAGUUGGUAGUACUUAAAUUACCCUCAGAUAAAUAAUAUAAAUUUGACUUUUAAAUCGAGAGAAAGCACUGUUAGGAAUCUUAAAUCACAUCUUAGAGAUAUCUUUCUUGAAAAGGUGAAACACUAAUGAAUUUUUAUGUUUAUUAGUGCCUUGGAUUAUUUUCCAAUAUAAAAAAUAGUAUUAAAUCAUAAAUGAUAAUGUUUAAAAAACAUUAACAUUAACUAAUAGUCUUCUCCUCUGCUUUGAAAUCUUGAUAAUAUGGUGAUAAGAACUAUAAAUUAUUCAAAUUCUGUGCAUGUAUUGUUUUUCAAAUUUUUAUAUUAUUAAUAGUGCUUAUGUGUGCGAAGGAUACCAUUUCGUAAAAAAAGGGUUUGUGCUCCCCUGUGUCAAUGGACCACCACCCUUUCAUCCCUUUUUUUACCCUUUUUUCGUCCCCUUCUAAACCCCUUUAUUGGGGAAGCUGAACACAGUUUUUGAAAGGGGUACGUUUAUAAAAAGGGUUCCUAGUACAUGCCAAACUAUUGUCAAUCUAACGUUAUCACACAUUUUUAUAUAUUUUUAUAAAAAAAUCAGUUUGUCCUCUUGCAGUGGAAAGAAAUCGUUUUGUAGAAUAAGCAUUCUGGAAUAGAAUCCUUUAUUUUAAAUGUUAAUAUUAGUGUAACUAAAGUUCUGACAAUAAUUUUACACUGAUAGGGCGUCAACAAAUGCGUUUUAGCACAGAACUCCAGGAUCCCCUUCCGUUCCUUGGAGGUGGCUACAUCAGAUCCAAUGGGUGGAGCCUGCCUUCCCUACCAUUUUGCAUUUAUCAAACAGUAGGGCAAAGGGUAGACAGUCUUAGUAAAACCUUGAGGGUGAAAAGGUGCUUUUAAAAAAGUGAUUCAUAAUAUUAUAAAUGGUGUCAGCAAUAAAUUGAUAAGUUAUUUUGAUAUGAAUGUAUUCUUUUAUUUAAUGGAUAAUUUUAAAAACUCAUUUUAAUAGAAUCCCACUAUCAUGACAUAUUACAUAAUAUUUAAAAAAGUGUCCUUUUGGAAAAGUGAAAACCAGUCAUGUUGGAUAUCUCAUAUCAUGAAGGGUGGAAAACUCGAGAGUCUGUCGACAACAUCGUCGUCGUGGUCGUCGUUCCUCCUCGUUCUCGCACAACAGGAAGGGCUUGGUUGGAAUCCUGAGGAUUACGGAUACAACCGUGAUGCUCUAUUCAAACACGAAUGUCUGCAUCAGGGAGUGCUUGCAUAGUACUCUGUGCACAUUGUGCUUUGGAUGAUAGUGGGGCCACCAAAACGUAAGAGGAGCGUUAAACGAGCCAAUGAUGAUCCUGACUCCUUGACCCUAUCCAGGGCGAAAGUCCUUGCAUAUUCUGCUAGACGAGGCAGGUCUAUACGCCAGAAGCAGGUCAUAUAGGCCUUUACGCUGUAAUCAAGGAAAAUCUUCAAAUCUUUUUCCAAGGAGAACAUUUUGUAACAUGAAAUAGCGUCUGAAAUUCAUUAAUGGUUUUGUGAGUUCUCCAACUGGAUCUUCAUCUUCUUCCUCACCGCCAAAGUAUAAGUAGACUUUGAUUUACCAAGUGUAUUUACACAUAUUUUUCCAUACAAUAUCUCUCAAAAUUAGUCUCAGAUGAAAAGUCAACAUUUUAGGUAUAUUUUUUUUUCAGCAGCCAGUAAUUUCCUCCUUCGAUUUUCCAUUCCAAGAAGAAGGUCCAUCCACCCUCGUCCUGGGUUCUUCAUAUCCCCAGAGUAUAUGAAGGCUACGCCAUAUCUGCAUCGGUUAGAUCGACACGAAAACUGUUAUCGGUCAACUCGCUCAGCCAUAUCAGUGGAAACCCUUUAUGUGAAUACGGGCAGUAGCUUGGGGCGGCUUGUCACGGGGGAGGGUGAUUGAUCGCCAUCCACGACACCCUGGUUUCCCGUAGUGGAUGGAGAGGGUUGGAAACCCUUUCACGCUUUCACGAAUCAGACCCAGGAUCACGUUCAGCCUCCUUCCUAAGAAAAUCAAAUGGACAGCAAGACCAGGAGAAACGGCUCCAGGGAUCUUCUUAAUUCUACAAGAUCUGCCUGCGCAGGCCGUACGUCAGGACAGCAACGUAGGCAAGUGGCAAAUUGCUGGAGGGUUGUAAAAGCGACACAGAAGGGCUGAAGGGAAUGAGAAAAAGAAGCAUCCGUAUACUGCUGGACCAAACCAAAGUGGAUAUAGUAGAACCUAUAAGAUAGCCAAGCCAGGCCAGAACGAAGGAGCAGAGAGAACGAGUACAAGGAGGAUGGGAAGAUGUACAAGUACGUGGAUGAGAACAGG